rnacentral:lncRNA from 1 species
UCCGAAGCAUGGAUACUUGAACAACCGAAUGCACGGCUGACAAGCUAGGUGGUAAGGAAAGUCUAUAAGCCACCUUUCCCAUGUGAUCGAGAAUCUCAAAUGGGCCAAUAAACCUAGGGCUAAGCUUGCCCUUCUUUCUGAAUCUCAUAAUGCCCUUCAUAGGCGAUACAUGAAGCAAUACUCGCUCACCAACCAUGAAAGCAACAUCCCUGACCAUGUGAUCUGCAUAACUCUUCAGCCUAGACAGAGCUGACCGAAGUCUGUCCUGAAUGAUCUUGACCUUAUCCAAGGCCUUCUAUACUAGAUCUGUACGCAUUACCGUGCCUCUCCCGGCUCAAAACAUCUGACUGGGGACCGACACCGCUACCAUACAACGCCUCAUACAGAGCCAUCUGAAUGCUGGAUUGGUAGUUGUUGUUGCAGGCAAACACCACUAUAGGCAAGAACUAGUCCAGGAGCCUUUAAAAUCAAUAACAUAGGCUCGGAGCAUAUCCUCAAGAAUCUGAAUUGUCCUCUCGGACUGGCCAUCUGUCUAGGGGUGAAAUGUUGUACUCAACUUAACUUGGGUGCACCAACUCCUGCUGCACCGCUCUCCAGAAAUGUGAGGUAAGCUAUAAACCCCGGUCCGAAAUAAUAGAAAUAGGCACCCUGUGAAGGCAAACAAUCUCCCUGAUAUAAAUCUCAGCAUAUCGGAAGAAUAUGUGGUGGCAAUUGGAAUAAAAUGCGUUGACUUGGUUAGCCUAUCAACAAUAACCAAUAUAGCAUCAAACUUCUUCCUAGUCAUCCGAAGGCCAGUAACAAAAUCCAUGGUAAUUCUCUCCCACUUCCACUCGGGAAGCUCAAUCCUCUAAAAUAAACCAUCGGGCCUAUGAUGCGCAUACUUAACCUGCUCUUAAUUCAGACAACGAGCCACAUAUGCAAUAAUGUAUUUCUUCAUUCUAUGCCGCCAAUAAUGUUACCUCAAAUCCCCAUACAUCUUCACGGUGCCCGGGUGAAUAGAAUACCGAGAACUGUGGGCCUCUACUAAGAUCGACUCCCGAAUACCAUAAACAUUUGGCACACAAAGUCGCCCCUGCAAUCUAAAUACACCAUCAUCUCCCAAGGUCAUUUUCUUGGCACCUUCCCGGUGUACCGUGUCUCUCAGGGCACACAAAUGGGAAUCAUCAAACUGCCGCUCCUGAAUGCACUCUAUCAACAACGAACGAGCAACCGUGCAAGCCAACACCCUGCUGGGCUCAAAAAUAUCCAAUCUCACAAAUCGAUUGGCCAAGGCCUGAACAUCCAAAGCAAGCGAUCUCUGGUUGACCGGAAUAUAGGCAAGACUACCCAUGCUGGCAGACUUCCUACUCAAUGCAUCGCCCACCACAUUGGCCUUCCCCGGGUGGUAUAAGAUAAAAACAUCAUAGUCUUUCAACAACUCCAACUACCUCCGCUGUCUCAAAUUCAACUCUUUCUUCUUGAAAAAUUACUGAAGGCUCUUAUGAUCCGCGUACACCUCAUACGUCACCCCAUAUAAAUAAUUCCUCUAGAUAUUUAAGGCAUGAACAAUGGCUGCCAACUCUAGGUCAUGCCACCACGUUGGCCUUCCCCGGGUGGUAUAAUAUAGAAACAUCAUAGUAUUUUAACACUCCAACUACCUCCGCUGCCUCAAAUUUAACUCCUUCUGUUUGAAAAAGUACUGAAAGCUCUUGUGAUCCGUGUACAGCUCACACAUCACACCUGUCGACGCCCCCUUUUUCCCUCCAAAAAGAAGCAAAAUCGGGUAUACAACAUUAUGGACAAAACAACUCUUAUUCUCUUUUGGGAAUUGGAUUAUGGAGUUUGAAGAGUCGCCAACUAAUGAUUAUAGUGCAUUAGGAUACUUUUAAGAAGAUUUUGAAUUAAAAUAAGAGUUCGGAUAAGGGCUUGAAAUUAUCUCUAUGGGAAGGUGUUAGCCACCCCUCAAGAUCCACUAGUGUGGUUCCCGACCUAGCUUAGAUGUGACUUUAAGAAGCAUAGGAAUAGACAAGCAAAUGUGCAAGGAAUACAAAACUAAUGGGCAAAUAUUUUUGAAAGAAGGAUAGUAUAAGUAAAGGGAAAUUUUAGAGAAAGUACUUAGACAAAAGUAAAGGUAAGGGGGGCCUAGGUUUAACAAUAAUAUGGAUCAUUUGAUAUAAUAUCCCUCACAUAUUCG